AAGGGUCCUAGAGCCGUGGGGAGGGGCAGCCCGUGGCCUGGAGCAGUGGAGGUGUUAAUCACUGAAGGGAGGUAGAAUGUUUUUCCCCACCAGAGGAGGCAGCGACCACGUCUCCUCUAUGGAGGCAUUCAAGAGCCGUCCAGCUGAAGCAGCAUCACUGUCUGAGCUUGGAAGGCACAAUCCACAUAGGUCUGCAUGGUCCACCGAGCUACAUACCCACGGGGCCAGCGGGAGGUGGGCAGCUGCUGGGCUCUCUUCUGAAGCAGACAGGAUCUCACUCUGUUGCCGAGGCUGGAUCACAGCUCCCUGCAACCUUGAACUCUCCCUCAAGCAAUCCUCCCCACUCUGCCUUCCAAAGCACUAGCAUUGUAGGCCUAAGCCACCACUCCCAUCCACUGUAGUGUAAACUGUCUCCUUCAAUGUUUCCAAUAGUUGCGGAGCAGAUCAGAUAAGGGUUCUUCCUGUCUGUUGCUUCAAGUUUCAUUCUCUCUUUAAAUGAUAUAAGGUUGGCUUCCAUGGUUCCUUCUUAAAGAAUGUUGAAGGUG
rnacentral:lncRNA from 1 species